rnacentral:rRNA from 1 species
UACGGAGGGUGCAAGCGUUGUCCGGAUUUAUUGGGUUUAAAGGGUGCGUAGGCGGCUUAUUAAGUCAGGGGUGAAAGACUAUUGCUUAACAAUGGCAGUGCCUUUGAUACUGAUAGGCUUGAGUACAGCUGAGGCAGAUGGAACGGGUGGUGUAGCGGUGAAAUGCAUAGAUACCAUCCAGAACACCGAUUGCGAAGGCAGUCUGCUAAACUGUAACUGACGCUGAGGCACGAAAGCGUGGGGAUCGAACAGGAUUAGAAACCCCCGUAGUCC